CAAAUAUGAUUUGAAUCUCUAAUUUCAAAUUAAACGCAACAUAAAAAAUGCCAACAUGAAGUGCAACAAAAUUCACAUAUAUUUAUAUUAACUAUUUUAUUCAUUUAUCUAGGCAAAUGUUCAAAAUGUGUGAUGCACACAUAUUAUUUGUUUUAAGGGAAUAAAAUUCCUAAUGCAAAAUCUUUAUUAAGGGAUAUUUUAACUUAAUUAUUUCAUAGAAUAUAUCUAAAUAUCAACCAUGGGUGAUUUAAUUUAUAUAAGUAUCUUUUAUUUAAUCUCUUAUUUGAAAAGAGAUUUAUUAAAAUAUUGUGAGAAUCUUUCUAAUUCCCAAAAUUGAGAGUUUGGGGUGUUACGUUGAUGCAUGUGUUAUGAUCAAAAUAUACCUUAGGAAAAGG
rnacentral:lncRNA from 7 species